rnacentral:rRNA from 1 species
UACGUAGGGGGCAAGCGUUGUCCGGAAUCAUUGGGCGUAAAGAGCGUGUAGGCGGCCCGAUAAGUCCGCCGUGAAAGUCCAGGGCUCAACCCUGGAAUGCCGGUGGAAACUGUCGGGCUGGAGUCCGGAAGAGGCGAGUGGAAUUCUUGGUGUAGCGGUGAAAUGCGUAGAUAUCAAGAGGAACACCUGCGGCGAAGGCGGGUUGCUGGGCCGACACUGACGCUGAGGCGCGAAAGCUAGGGGAGCGAACGGG